UUUUUGGGCAUUUUUGGGGCGGACGAACUUGGGGACGGGACCUUCGGGCGUUUAUUUUUGGGCGCGGCAGUGGCUACGGCCUAUUUUUGGCACACGGAGGCCCCUCGCAAAGUCUGGCCCCAUUCCGAGUCCGGCGGACGAACUUGGCCAGCCCCUCCCCCCAAGGCUAUAGCCCACCCGUUUUUUGGGCAUUUUUGCGGCGGACGAACAGGGGACGGGACCUUUGGGCGCUUAUUUUUGGUUGCGGCAGUGCCCGCGGCCUAUUUUUGGCACACGGACGGGACCUUCGGGCGCUUAUUUUUGGGCGCGGCAGUGUCCACGGCCUAUUUUUGGCACACGGAGACCCCUCGCAAAUUGUGGCCCCAUUCCGAGUCCGGCGGCCGAACUUGGCCAGCCCCUCCCACCAAGGCUAUCGCCCAUCCGUUUUUUUGGCAUUUUUGCGGCGGACGAAAUUGGGGACAGGAUCUUCAGGCGCUUAUUUUUGGGCGCGGCAGUGCCCGUGGCCUAUUUUUGGCACACGGAGGCCCCUCGCAAAGUCUGGCCCCAUUCCGAGUCCGGCGGACGAACUUGGCCAGCCCCUCCCCCCAAGGCUAUAGCCCACCCGUUUUUUGGGCAUUUUUGCG
rnacentral:lncRNA from 1 species